CUCACUUGAGCACAAUCCAAGAUGAAAGUUUCUGGGUUGUGUCCCCUUCGCUUCCUCUCACCCUCGCUCCCCCGCGGAGCCAAGGAGCCAGCAAUUGUGCAAGAGAAGCGCGGCGCACAGAGCGCGUAUCACGAAGCGCAUGAGCCAGCAAGCCGAACGCCUCCAGCGCGGCCGGGACGGAGGAGCGGCUCUGGGGAAGACGCCGAGGCUGCGCCCGAGUCUGAACGAAGGUGCUUCCAGCCACAUGAAGUCAGUAGGGCUGUUGUGAGGGGCCCCUAGAUUUUAUUAUUGUUUUUUAGGUUGCAGAACCUACUCCGACAGAGCAGACACUUUGGACGAAGUGAUUCAUAUUGAUAGAUACAUUUGUUAGGUGGUGGCUUUUUUCAUUCUUAACAGAAAACAAAGAAAUAAAUUAAGUCUUCCCCUGA